rnacentral:SRP_RNA from 1 species
GCCGGUCAUGGUGGCUCGUGUCUGUAGUUCCAGCUACUCGGGAGGCUAAGGUGAGAGGAUCGCUUGAGCCCAGGAGUUCUGGGCUGUAGCGCUCUAUGCCGAUCUGGUGUCCACACUAAGUUUGGCAUCAAUAUGGUGACCUCCCAGGAGCAUGGGACCACCACGUUGCCUAAGGAGGGGUGAACCGGCCCAGGUCAGAAACAGAGCAGGUCAAAACCCCCGUGCUGAUCAGUAGUGGGAUUGCACCUGUGAAUAGCCACUGCACUCCAGCCUGGGCAAUGUAGCCAGACGCCAUCUCA